GAUGAAACUUACUUUUCUAGAAAGUACGAUUAUAACUUGCUUUUUAGAAGAAUGACUUUUAAGCAGAAUCAAAAAUGCUAUUUAUCGGUGAAUACUGAAAUAGGUGAAGGCGGGGAAAUGCUGCCGGUCAAAAGCGCUAUCUCAUCGUCGACAGAAAUGUCUACAACCUCGACCUUGUGAGUGUUCAACUUUUCAUUCUGAAUUGCUCGUAAAGUCUCUAGUACUUCUUCCAUUGAAGGCCUCAUAUCUCUUUCCUGCUGCAAACACCGAAAUGCCAACUCUGCAACAAGUGUAAUCAUCCUUCUCGUAGUACAAUCCCUCUCAAAUCCGAGACUCUGAUCAACCAAAUCAUGCAACGUACGAUUUUGAAUUUUGUUGAUAGCCAUGUUGGAUAAGUUGAUAUCGUGACGGUGUCUGUUGGUAUCCACAGCUUGUAAUGAAGACAUGAGUUCAAUCAAAACCACCCCAAAACUAUAAACGUCACUCUUUUCUGUGAGUUUGUAGCAUUGGUAGUAUUCGGGGUCAACAUAGCCAGGAGUCCCUUGUGGAGCAGUCGACACGUGUGUCACGUCAUUCGGGAAUAUUCUGGACAACCCAAAAUCAGCAACUUUUACAUGGAAAUCAUUGUCCAGGAGAAUGUUGUUGGUUUUUACAUCACGAUGCACGAUGUCCGAUUUAUGGAGAUAAGUUAGUGCAUCCGCUGUUUCAAUGGCAAUAUUCAACCGAAUUGGCCAAGAUAGCAAGCCAGACUUCGCCCUUUUUCCGUGCAAAUGAUCAGCCACUGUUCCAUUCGGUAUAUACUCGUAGACUAGCACUAGGUCUCGGCUACUUUUUGAUGUGCAUCCAUACAGUGUCACAAGGUAUAUAGGUUCUUUGAAGUUAUUUAUCUAUUAUUUUAUAGUACAAGAUGUUAGUGGCGGACUCAGACAUUUUGUGGGAUCAAAAAUUAAAAUGCAGUCAAUACAGUACUAUAAUUAUAGCCUACGGAUUUUAUACUUUGAAAAAGUCGUCUAAUUACAACAUUAUCAAUAAUAUAUGUAUUAGGAAUCACUUCUACCAUUGCACUCGAACUCUAAGAGGAUCCUUUUGAUAAGAUAACUAGCUUAGUGAGCUCUUAUUUUCAUAAAAUAAAUAAGUUAUUUACAUAAAAAAAAAGUAAAUAAACAUGCUUUAAAGUGGAAAUCUAAAAAUAUGUGCUCCAUGUUGUUAAUAGGAGGUCCAAAAGCAUAUCCUCGAGUAGUGGUGCACUUGUCAAAAAGUAUUAUCAAAGCAUGAAAAUAAAGACCAAAUUAAAAAUUGGUUGUCCCUUUCAUGAUUUUGUGCCACUUUUUAGAAAUCUGUCACCAUCUUAAUUAGUAAAUACAAAUUUCAUUUUCAACAUAAUUAAUUAUGUGUUAGAAGAAUUAGUUUCUUGCCUUGCAGGUCAAACAAACAACCGUCUCUCAUUUAUUGACAGAAUUGGCAUCUUUAUACUAUAAUUCAAACAAGAUUAAUGAUCUUCUAUGACAAGGCUCUGUCAAAAAAUUCCUUAAAAACUAACAAGUUGCUUCUAAAUUUAUUUCAAUAAUUUUCUUACUGUAUUUUAUUUCAUUAAAAGAAUUUUUAAAGAAAGUUAAAUGAAAAGAACAAACUUGAAAUCUAAUCGUUCUAAAAGUAAGUAUUUUAUUAAAAGUAACGAGAUUGAGUAAUGCUUUUUACAAUCAUUUACAAUCGCUUUACGUGAUAUGUAUAUGAUGAUCAUGUAUGUCACGUAGAACGACUGCAGUAGUGAACAACUGCUUAUAUCAUUAUUCUUAUUAAUAUGCUCAAGUCAUUUUGACGAAGGUACAAGCAUCUAUACAAAGUACUUCGUUAUCACUUCUAAUGAUAUAUUUCAAUGGUGAAAUUCCUUUAUGUUUUUACAUUUUUUUAAGGGUAAUAGGAUAUACUAUUUUUACAAGUAUCUAUUAACAAAAAAGUUCCGUACAAAAUUACCUCUCAAUGUGAAAAUAUUUGGUUUUGCUACAAGUACAGAAAAAAUUGACAGAAUUUUUACAAAGAAAUACUUGGUAAAUUUUCAUUGAUUUUUGACACAACAAACACAGAAAUUACACCAUACAAAUACUGUCAACACAACACCUAUAUCAUUUCUGUCAAUAAUUCCCCGUACCUAUGGAAUUAUUCUAAAAUUAAGGGUAACAUAGAGACUUAACGGCGAUAGACAAGAAUUAUGAGUUUAACAUAGAGAUAACAUUUUUUUUUUAAUACGAAAUUUGACGAUAACGACAUAGUUCUUCUACCUUCAUAAUCUUAAAAAAGCAGAAGCCAAAAUUACCUAAAAUAAUGAAAAGCAAAAAUUUAAGACUAAAAAUAAUUAUUUUACUAUUAAAGGUCAGAUUAAUCACAUCACUCGGGUAUGCCGACGAGAACCGGCCGCCAAGCUCUCCUAAGCAACCGGUGCCGGAACAUAGCUGAUAACGGCCGUCCGGAACGUGCCCCACCGACGCCCGCAGUUGGUAACAGCCCUUCUCUUAUAUUCUCCGAAACUUUCUCUUUGAACGUCGGAGGUGACGAAACAAACAAAUCCUUCAGUUUAUGUCUAACAACAAUUUCCUUCCCCCUUUCCGACGAUUUUCCGUCGCCCCGCGGCCGCCUGCCCGGAGAUCAACUUCACGGAGCGGCGGCAGCCUUCUUCCGCCGCGGCUGAGCAGCAUACGGAGAGUGCUUCUUCUCCGGCGGAGGUGGAUUACUGGGCUUGUAGUUGGACUCCUUGUUGGGCUUCCGGCAACUGCACACUGUGUAGCUAACAGCUUGAAUUUCUGUAGAGUCGUCAUGAUUUGUUCCUGUAAAUAGUUUAAUUUAAUGAAUUUUUUAUUUUUAUUUUUUUAUCAUCAAUUUUGCAGAUUAAAAUGAAUUGAGGAUUUGGAAUUUUCAAGGGGUGAAGGGGAAGAAGAUGAAAAGGAAAGUGUGGGCAUGGUCUUAUGAAAGGUGGCCAUUAGAUGGUCCUUGUUUGGUUCAUUGUAUAUUUAUAAAGAAUUUUCAUUUUUAUUAAUUGCUAAAAAUACACUCCUCCGUCCCAUAAAUAUAGUUAUAUUUCCUUUUUUCGUCUGUUCCCAAUUAUAGUCUUAUUUCUUAUUUGUGAGUGUAGUUAAUAUAUUAGUUUUCUAACAUGUUCCUAUUUAAUGUGUUUUGUUAUCACAAAUAUAAUUUAAUUACCUUGAAUAUUGAAUGUAUUAAUAUAGGGGUAUAUUAAGAAAAAUAAUAGUAAAAAUUUAUUAUUUCAACUAUAUUAAUUAAAAAUUUUUUAAUCUGUGUGAAAAAAGAAAUAUGACUAUCUUUAUGAGACGAAUAUAGUAAGUUAAUAGAAAUUAGUAAUAAGUAAGUAAAAUAUGGAACGUUAAUAAGUUAUUUUAGCAACUUAAAGAAAACGCAAACAUGUACAUAGUGUGUGUGUAUACGAGUGAGUGAAGUGCGCGAAGUAGAAAGUUAGUCUGCAAUUUUUCAAAAGGAUAAUUGGCAAAUUACAUCUUUACCUUUAACCAUUAUUGUGAAAAAGGUUUUCAUCUUUCAGUUUUUGACAUUUUCACCCUUAAUUACACCUUUAAUUACGCAAAACAUCAUUUUCAUCCAGUUUCUCAAUAAAAAGUUGUGAUAUAACGAAUACACCAUCAUAUUUAAAUAAAACAAAAAGAAGAGAAGAGAAAAAUAAAGAUCUAAUUGUAAUUAUAGUCCCAAAAUUUUUUAGAAAUUACAAACGAGUUCCAAAUAAAUUAUUAAAAAAUUAGAAAAAAAAUCUCUUUCUUUUCCUUAUUCCUCCUCCACCACCACCGUCGCCACCAUUUCUUUAUUUCUUGUUUAAGAGAAAGAUUAAUUUGAUAGUUGGGACAAAAUGGAUUUGAAUUGGAAUUAUCUAAGGGAACUAGCUAUCCUUUCCCAGUUUCCCCGUUUCUUUAUUUCUUGUUCAAGCAUCGUGACACUGAAAAAAAAAGUGCAUCUAGCAAGCUGAUUUUCAACUUAGCCAAAUAAGCUCAGCCGAUUCCAUUCAUUUCUUUUGAUGUCUAACUUCAUUUGACCUCAAAAAUCAGAAUAAUUUGCCAAAUAAACCACAAAUACACACACAUGCACAGAGAACGGAUUACCUUGUUCCAUGUUCAAUUUUGCUUUUGGAAUGCAAAGUGUGGAUGAAAUGCUCCUUGGAGAGCCAUUUUCCCCACAAAAAAAGAAAAAAGAAAAAAAAGUGUUUUUAAGUAAGAUUUUAAUAUUUUUAUGGAAAAUCUUUUUGAUUGUGUGUUAAGAAUCAGUGCUGGAAUGGGUGCAUUGAUGGAGAAGGAUAAGACAUUUAUAAAUUAAGGAUGAAUGUUGGUGUCCCACAUGAGUUAUCUAUCUCUAAUAAGAUUUAAAAUCAUGACAGAAAACAAAUUGGGCCUAUACAAAUUAGUGGUGGUGGUAGAGGAGGAGGAGGAGGAGGAGGAGGAAGAAGAGAAAGAAGAAGGAAAAGAAAGAAUUUUUUUUUUAAAUAAUUUAUUUGGGAUUCAUUUGCACUUUUUUUUAAAAAAAAAUUUGGAAGCAUGGUUACAAUUAGUUCCUUUUUUUCUUUUUGUUUUAUUUAAAUAAAAGAGUAUAUUUGUCAUUGCACUAUUUUUUAUUGAGAAGAUGAAAAUGAAAUUUUUGGUGUCCCCCCCCCCCCCCCCCCCCCCCCCCCAAAAAAAAAGAAAAGAAAAGAGAAAGUGUUUUUGAGUAAGAUUUUAAUGUUUUUAUGGAAAAUCUUUUUGAUUUGUGUUAAGAAUCAGUGCUGGAAUGGGAGUAUUGAUGGGGAAGGAUAAGAUGUAUAUAAAUUAAGGAUGAAUGUCGAUGUCCCACAGGAGUUAUCUAUCUCCAAUAAGAUUUAAAAUCGUAACCGCAAAAAAAUUGGGCCCAUACAAGUUAGUGGUAGUGGCGAUAGAGGAAGAAGAAGAUGAGAAAGAAGGAAAAGAAAGAGAAAUUUUUUAAUAAUUUAUUUGGAAUUCAUUUGCACUCUUUAAAAAAAAUUGGAAGUAUGGUUACAAUUAGUUCCUUUUUUUUUUUUUGCUUUAUUUAAAUAGGAGGAUAUAUUUGUCAUUCCACUAUUUUUUAUUAAGAAGUUGGAUGAAAAUGAUGUUUUUGGUGUGAUUAAUUUAAGGGUGAAAAUACCCAAAAAAAUAAAAUUGUAGAAACGUUAUGUUCUAAUUACCCUUUUCGAAAACUGUAAGCAACUCUUAGCUGUUCAUGUUAACUACACAAUUAGUCUUUAAUAAACAUGAACAAUUUAAAAGAUCUUCUAAAAGCAACUCUUCUCAAAAUGUCAUUUAAAAGGGUUGAGUUGGAAUCAAAUUCUAACUAUGAAUUCUUAUACAUUUCUAAAUGGUUUAGUUACAAAAGAACUAGGAGCGAAGACAUUUCUCCCCUUUCGUCUAACUAGAAGGUUUGAAUGAUUUUCGUUAUUGGAAAAUAAUAUACUUAGAACAUACUCAGUGUCAAAAGAUUAUGCUAUAAUUUGGUUUAAAGUUUGGUCCAUUUUUUCCUUUUACUUCAUAAAAUUGAUCUAUUUUUUAAAAUAAUAAUAAUAAUGAUAAAAGGUUUAGCUAGUUGUGUUGUACUUAUUAAAGAUCAAUGAUUAACUUGUUAUUUGAGCAAUAUAUGAAGGGCAACCGUGCAAUUUUUCUAAAGUGAGAAAAAUGUAGUUUACAUUAGGUGACUUUAUAACGGGGAAGAAGGACCGUUGUCUUAUUGUUUGUUUGGCUCUUUUGAGGCUUCUAAGCUGUAAUUCUUACACGUGGCGGGAAUUAAUAUCCUUUGGGACCCAUUUUGUUAUCUAGAGCGAACCAAUUUUGUCUUUUAUAGUGCUUGAUUAGUAGUUAUACUAAAGCCUAUUGUCCGGUCGGAUUGAAAUUAAAUUUUUAAAAAAUAUAUAUGAUUUAAAAAUUAUAUAUUCAAUAAAAUAUAUGAUUAAAAUUAAUUAUUAACUGUAAGUUAAAUUAAAAUUUUACUACCGAACAAGGACUAAGUGAUUAUAUGCAUGUAAGUUUUACCGAAUAUAAGUCACAUAUCGCUAACAAAUUAGGCACACAGGUUUAAUAUAUGAAAACCGUUAUUUUUAAAUAAAUUUAAGUGAGUUUUAUAUAUUUUUUUAAAAAACUAGUAGCAUAUUUUAUUAAGAUCGAAAAGGAAAUUGCGAAACCUUGAAGAGGGACCGAAUGCUACAUGAAUAUUAAGAUUGAUAUAAAACUUGACAUAAUGUCAUGUGGCAUUUUAUCAUCGGACAAUUUAAAAUACUUCAGUUUUUCUAUUCAAUCAUCUACUGUCACAUGUAAUUAUGUCAAAUUUCCUGUCAAAUCCUUCUGGCAAAGUAGCUUCAUCCAAGCGAGAAAAGGUCGAACUUACCCAUUCAAAAAAGGAAGUACAAGAAAGUUUUAAACUAAAACAAAAUUUAGCCUUUUUUUUUAUGGGGAUUAAAAUCAAUUUUUUUUUGUAAAUUUGUUGAAAAUUAAUGAAAUGCGUGGUUGAAAAAUUGUAAGACCUAUAAAAUACGUUAUUAAAAUUAAUUUUUGAAUUUGAUUUAGAUUAAAAUCUGAAAUUUAAUUAUUUAGUGAAUUUCUUUGUUAUUUAAUGCACCUUAAAUGCAGGUAUAUUCAUAUUGAGAAAAUAGCGAGUUCAUAUGUUUAGAUAAGAUUGAUUCUAUUCAAGAAAGACUAUCAAUUAAAUUUGACAAAUUCGAUUGGCAGCUCAAAUGAAAUAAUAUUGCCUUAAUUUAAUACACGAUUUUAAAUUAGAAAAACUAAGAUAAAAUCAUGAGUCCUAACAUCUUGUUAAUCAAUGUUUCUUCAUCGGUCAAAUUUGUGAUCGCUACUCCAAUUCUUUAAUUAAAUUUUAAUUUUUAGUAAAAAAUUAACAAAGUAAAUCAAAUAUUUUAAAAUUUUAAAAUAAAUAGUUAGGAAUAGUGUAAACUUUAAGCCCUUAUUUGAGCCUCAUUAUUUCCAUCAGAAUAUAUUCUUUAACGGUGAUUUGACUCAUUUCAACCAUACAUUCUUCAUUAAAAUAAUAUUACACACAAAUUUAAAACUUUUAUUUAUUUUUUUACUACACAUUUUUCGUCAAUACACUAUUCAAAAUAUAUUUUUUUGGUAAGAAUGAAACUCAAACGAGAGCUAAAUCGAAGGUCAACAACACAUUCUCUUGGGUUGACACUUGACUUGAAUUUAUUGUUUUACUAGUCAUAAUAUCUUGCAUUUAUAAUCAAAGUGAUAAUGUCGUUGCAGUAGUUGUGGUGGUUAUCUUGUCACCCCCAAUAUUAUUUCGGUGUACUAUUUUUUAAUUACACUAUUAUUUACGAACUUUGCUUAUUGUCACACUUGUAUUCUCGCUUAUGUGUCUCAUUAUUAUCUUCGAUAUUUCGUUAAUUAACAUACUUGGUCUUGAUGAUGGUUUCUAACUUUCUAUCCAAACUAGUCUAUGUCACGUGUGUUGCAUGAGUUUUAUAUUUAUUUUGUUGUUAUUAGCGUAGAAUUCGUUGAUUUUACAAAAAAAAAAAAUUAGCGUAGAAUUCGUUGAUUUGACCAAAAAAAAAAAAAAAAAUUUGAAGAUGUGAAAUGUUUGCUUGAUUUACAUUCUUUUGUAGACUGUAUAUUGUAUGUCAAUGAUAAUUCAUUUUUAUUUUCAUAAAUAAAUAUAAUCAAUGAUGUCGACUGUAUACUGUAUGUCUUCGAUAAUUUAUUUUUAUUUUUUAUCAAUAAUUAUAAUCAAUGAUGUAAUGAUCUUGCGAAAUUAGGUUGUAUAUGUUUAGGUGCAUAAGUGAAAAGUUAAUUAUUUAUUGAUUGGUAUUUUUUUAUUUAGAUUAAAGUAGAUGAAGAAUUGAUUUUUUUAUUUGAUAUUUAUUGCAAAUAAGUUGCAACUUGAAUUUAGCAAAAUGUUUGAACUACUGAAUAAUGAACCCUAAUGUUUAUGGUCUACAAAAAAGAUCACACUGAUGGAACUCUGACUUGUCUCUAAACUUUUAAAUUUCAGUUAUAUCUUUUCUAUUUAACUAAUAUGAAAUAAUUAUCUUUCCCUAUGUAUUAAAAAUUUAUCGCUGGAUUCAGUGUUAAUUUAUUUGUGCUAUUUCUAAUUCUAAUUCCAUCUUUCUUGCUUACUAAUAUUAAAAUAUAUUAUUUUAUACUGAUGUCAGGUAAUUUUUAAUUCUUUUGAAUUAAACAAUCUCCUCAACUCUUUCAUAUCUAAUAAAAUAGAUGUACCGCACCGUUUCUUCUGAAUUAACACACCUUCGUUGAGCCAUGACGUUCAUGGUCUUCUUCCGAAUUAUCACACCUUCGUUGUGCCAUGAGAUUUGUCUAGUGAGUAUUAUAAAAAUUUAUCUUAUAUAAACUUUCAUUAAACAACAAAAAACCUUUCCCACAAACAUAAAACCCAUUCUUUUCUCUCAAAUACUUACAUCUCUUCUACGCGCUUUAUUCAAUUUCAGUUUAUAUAAAUUAAGUAUUGUCAUGGAUAUCAUUCAACCACCAUAUUAGCAUUAUAUUUAAGGUUAAUUAGUCUGAUCAUAAUCCUUUUCCUUUUAACUCAAGUCAUAUCACAAAUGUGUUCAAUUAAGCUAAUAUAUGAAGAUCAAUCCUAAAUCAAUUGAGAAACAUUAAAAGAUGAAUUAUUCAUCAAAGUUAUAUAAUAAGUUGAUAAGAUAUUUCUUCAAUCGGUAUAAAAAUUGGAAGGAUAAUUUCAAUCAGAAAAGGACGACCCUCAUCUCUCAUUUCAUGAUAAUAUUCCUGUUGGAACUCCAUAUAUACUUGUGAGGGCGAAAAUUCAUUCAUUUCCAUGCACACAUAUAAAUUUAAAAGUAUACACACAUAUACAAAGUAACAAACUAAAAUAAAAAUAGAAGAGAAGAGAAGAGAAGAGAAGAGAACAAUACGAAAAUAUAAUUUAGUGGGAUUUAAUUUAUAGCAAUCCAAUAAUAGGAACUGAUGAUGGUUGGUGAAAAUAAUUUUAUCAAAAUAAGGAGAGUUCUCAUACUCUUCUGUGAAAAUUACACUACAUAAUAAAUAGCAUUAAAUCAACCCUAAACUGUUUACCUCCACAUUUAUUUUCAAUUUUAAUUAAAUAAUAUUUAUGUAUUCUUUUAUUUAAUUUUUGUAACUUUCUUUUGUUUAAUUUUUUUAUUAUAUAUUUUUUGUAAAUUGUUUUAAAUUUUCCUUUUUCUUCAUAUUAUAACUAAUUUUUUGUUCAAUUUAAAUUUUUUUUUAAUUCUUUUCGUUUUUUGAGAGAACGUAACUUGUUCAAUUUUAAUUAAAUAAUAUUUAUUUUUAAUUUUAAUUAUUUCAAUUUAAUUAAAAAACUUUAUAAUAACAUUUUUUUUUCUAUUUUUGACUGAAUUUUUUUUCUUUAAUUUGUUAAAUUAUUUAGUUUGGAUGAAGUGUAGUGUGUGAAAAUGAAAAAAAAAAUAUAUUACAGGGGAGGUGAUUGUUGCAAUGAAGUGGCGUGUAAAAAUGGAAAAAUGAUUGAAGACAACACGACGUCGUUUUUGCUCCCACGAUUAAAAAAAAAUUGUUACAAUGUGAUAAAAUGAAAGAAUUCACUGAUACUACUAUAGUAACUUCUCAUUCUCUUUUUUAUAUAGUAGGGAUAUUCUAUCAGCGUGCUUUCAAACAUAUCCAACUUCGUAUUUUUAUUUAUUUUCACUUAUUUUAAAAUAUGGAGGAAAAAUAUGUCUUUUAGCCCCUAUUUGAUCCCCACAACAUGAAAAUGAAAAUGAAAAUAGGGGGAAUAGUAUUUUUUAGAAAAAUGAGUGGUUGAAAAAGAAAGAAAUUUUUUUGAUAAAACCCUUGAUUGACAAUGUUGUAUUAAUUAAGAGACGAAAUCGUCACCCAAUUAACUCUGUCCCAGUUGAUUAAGGAUUGUUGUUUCCACAAGUACAACAUCCCUAGACAAAAUAUAUGAAAACACCAUUUUCAGCUGCAAAAAUGAAACAACAAUAGCUCAAGACACAACUCCAUUUCAUAUGUACAUUUCCUUCAAAAUACAAAUUAGUAGGUGGUUUUCAAAACUUUGUACCUAUCAACACAACAAAAGACAUCGUCACAAAAAGAUUAAGCAUAAGCAAAUCAAAGGCAUACUUCGAUUACAUGAAUUAAAAUUAGAGAAAUGCAAGCUGUUUGGUUUUACUCAAAAGUCAAAUGUAAGUCGAUGAAACUUACUUUUCUAGAAAGUACGAUUAUAACUUGCUUUUUAGAAGAAUGACUUCUAAGCAGAAUCAAAAAUGCUAUUUAUCGGUGAAUACUGAAAUAGGUGAAGGCGGGGAAAUGCUGCCGGUCAAAAGCGCUAUCUCAUCGUCGACAGAAAUGUCUACAACCUCGACCUUGUGAGUGUUCAACUUUUCAUUCUGAAUUGCUCGUAAAGUCUCUAGUACUUCUUCCAUUGAAG
rnacentral:lncRNA from 1 species